rnacentral:rRNA from 1 species
UACGUAGGGUGCGAGCGUUGUCCGGAAUUACCGGGCGUAAAGAGCUCGUAGGUGGUUUGUCGCGUUGUUCGUGAAAACUCACAACUCAAUUGUGGGCGUGCGGGCGAUACGGGCAGACUGGAGUACUGCAGGGGAGACUGGAAUUCCUGGUGUAGCGGUGGAAUGCGCAGAUAUCAGGAAGAACACCUAUGGCGAAGGCAGCACUCUGGGACGGUACUGACGCUGAGACGCGAAAGCGUGGGGAGCGAACAGG